rnacentral:lncRNA from 1 species
CUUACGUUAGUUAACUCAUGGCCUCCAGUGUGGCCGGUACGAGUGCUUCAAUGCCGGGAGCUGAAAAGGAACAGUCACUCCGGAACAGGAAAUAACCUCUGAGCCGAGCACCACGCCCUGACUCCCUUCUUCAGGGAAAGCCCCCCGGGGCCUCUGAAGCACCCUCGCCCCACUCUCAACCCCCUUGGGGGAAAUCAGAAGCCAAACCUAGAUUCACAGUGUCAGGGAUCUUCCCUAGAGUCUGGGUCACGCCCCUCUUCCUGGAGGGCUUCAGGCACACCUGGCGCCCAGGAACUGCCGCCGACCGGGCUGCGCCCUCUCUCAAGCCUGGGUGUCCCCUCCGCUCAGAGGUCGGCGCGGGCGAGCGUCAGGGAAGGCUGUCCCCGCGGGCUUCCUGCUGCCGACCCCGUGCGCGGGGCCCGGAGGCCGGGUCCUUUAGGGUCCCCGCCGCAGGCUAAACUUCAGUGCUGGAGGUGCAGGGGCCACCGCCUCGCGCGGUCGGAUUCCAGCCCCUGCUCACCCUGUCCUCGCCUGUUAACUUACAGCUUUUCUUGUCUCCCACCUCCUUGCCGAGUCCCGCACAUCUGUAACUUCAGCGACGCUGAAGUUUGCAGCCCGCGUGAGAGGCGCGGCCCUGGGGGACAGGGCAGAGUUAAAACGCGACUCGGGCCUCCCUCCCCAGCUCCACUGCCCCGGGCGUGCCCUGAGCCUGCGGCCUUGGCAGUGGGCCCGGAAGGGUGGGUGCUGCCCCAAGGUCGCAUCCAGGCCCUCGGACCCUGCCGGGGCCAGUAGUGGGCAAGACGAGACUCCAAGAGCGGCCGGGCCGCUGGGGUCACUGGGGAUAGUCCUGAGGUCUUGCCGGGUAGGAUGGGGGUCCCAGACCCACGCUCCAGCGGGGACGCCCCGACUCCAGCCCGGCCCCGGCUCCGGACCGGCCGGGUCUCCGACACCGUCCGCCACGCACGCCGAUCCGCCCCCUCUCUGGCAGAACUGGGCCCUGGGCGUGGCCGUGGCCGUGGGCGUGGCUCUACCCAUGGCCUGAGCGCGCGGGACCCGGAGGGCUGAUGCCUCCCCGCCCCGUCUCCACAGCAACGGGCGUGUGCGGGGACCCAGAGCUGGCUGGGGUGGAAACCGCGGCCUACUUUCCCGCCUCCAGCAAACUCUGCAAUUGCUGAGGUUGAUUUAGCAGCACCCAAGGGAUCUGGGUCGGCAAGAGCACCUCAGUGACAGCCUGGCACCGGGGUCCGCAGGAGAAGGCCAGGCUGGGGCCAGGGAGCUGAGGCUGAGGAGGAGCGUUUGCACAGGCUAGGGAGACACGGCACAGCAGUAUCCGCCUCAGACAUUUGUAGCACCGUUAGUCCUGCCACUUUCUCUCACUGUAGCUUCGCAACAGACUUGGGAACCAAGCAAGGCAUGGCUGAGGAAGCUUAAGCCCAGUCUGGGCUCGCGGAAGAAGCUGGUGGAUCCAAAUAUCUGCUUCCUGCCUCCACCCACCCCUCCCCGCUCCCGUGGUUGGGGAACUCCAGAGCCCCACAUCACAGUUCAGCACGUGCCUCAGGAGCUUCAGCACCUCCUUCGUGAAAGGAGAGUCUGCCGGUAACGGGGGAAGCAGGCCAUCAGCCUGCCCAGCUUCAUCUCAGGCCGCUUCCAACAGCGCCAAGCAAACUCCCUUGGCAAGAUCCAUGCAAGGCCGCGGCUGACCACCGGGAGGCAGCAGCCUACUCUGCAAGGCACUCUCUUUACCCGACCCCCACCCCCUUUUAACAGGUGGCAGGAAACCUGCUGGCCCAGCCAUCUGCCGCACCCACCCUUCACUCCCAGUCCCAUCUCCCCAUAGCACAGAUUUCCCUAUCAUGAGCCCAGACGUGGCCUGCAUCUCCUCUUGCCUUCCUCUGCCCAAGGAAUCCCUACAGAGAUUCUUUCUCUAUCUUCCUUUAUACAUUUCCACAGAAUUGUUUCCCCAGGGCCCCUCCCCUUGAAGAAAUUAGACAGGAAGCUGGAGUAGAUGGUUCCCUCUUUCCCACCUCUCACACUCCCAAGCUCUGGUUAACUCUCUGUGGGCCAGUGGCUAGAUUCCCCAACACAGAUGACAACUGAACAAUACACAUGCAGCGUAAGAAUGUUGUCGCUGCCACCAGCCACUUACAGAUACACCAUUGCUAAGGUCCACCCAACUGGACUGUUUCCCCCUUCCAUAGACUAAGCCCCAAAGGCCAAAAAUAAAACCCCCUACCCCAAACCUGCCUAUAACUGUUUGACCAGAGGCCAGCUGUCCCAGGAUGCGGUUAAGAUGUCUACCUUGCACAACAGAACUGGCAAGAAAAACAUCUCCAGGAAGCGGUCAGAUACACGGCACAAAGGACUCCCCCCUCCCCGCUUUUCCUUUUCCUUCACCCUGACCCAGUUCUACGCCCUGUAAGACGUUGCUCCAGCCUAUAAGUGGGGCUGCCUCCUCUGCUUUUGUCAAGAGAUAGCCCGGCAGGACUGACAAUAAAUCAGUUUGCCUGAACUUGGGUCUAUUGGCCUCAUUCCUUUCUUGGCUGUCCUUCCAAUUAUCCCUUACAACCAUCUCCCACCCUCUGAAGGCACUGCACCCAAUCCCCAGCCGUUCGCAGUCUGGUCAGGGCUGUCUGUGCAGGACUUGUCAUGGCUGAGGCCCACAUAGCCUCAAGCCACUCUGAAGUCAGCUUGCUGUUUCCCCUGGAGCCUGGAAAUACAUCCCUCUUCAGGUAAACAAAAGCAGAAAAA